rnacentral:ncRNA from 1 species
AUAGGUGCCUGAACAGGCUUAAUAGGGAAGACCGGUGAAAGACCGGCGCGGUCCCGCCACUGUAAUGGGGAGCAAGCUCAAGAUAUGCCACUGGAAUAGUUAUUCUGGGAAGGUUUGAGGGAAGCAAUGAUCCAAAGCCAGGAGAACUGCCUAUUUG